ACAACCAUAUGUUCAUAGUUAGUAUGAAAUAUUGUUAUGAACUUGAUUGAUUGUUAAUAAGCUAUGUGAAGAAUUAGUAGGAAUCACACUUUAAAAGCUUGUACAUAAUGUGUUACAAAUGCGAAACCCGCCAAGUGUUCGAUGAAAUGCCUAAGAGAACAAAUUGUGAAAUUAUAUGAAAGUUGUGGAAAGUGUUUAUAGUCGUUAGCAAAAUAAUAUGUUAAGUGUGCUUACGAUGGAGUCCAUAUGAGAAUUCGGAUUGAAUGUAUGGU
rnacentral:lncRNA from 1 species